GUGCCCGGCCUCUGAUGAAGCUUAUGUUGGUAGGGACAUCUGAGACGGUUGAUGAAUGCCAACAGCUCUGAUGGCGGUGC